rnacentral:rRNA from 1 species
GAUGAACGCUGGCGGCGUGCCUAAUACAUGCAAGUCGAGCGAACAAACGAGGAGCUUGCCCCUCUGACGUUAGCGGCGGACGGGUGAGUAACACGUGGAUAACCUACCUAUAAGACUGGGAUAACUUCGGGAAACCGGAGCUAAUACCGGAUAAUAUAUUGAACCGCAUGGUUCAAUAGUGAAAGACGGUUUUGCUGUCACUUAUAGAUGGAUCCGCGCCGAAUUAGCUAGUUGGUAAGGUAACGGCUUACCAAGGCAACGAUGCGUAGCCGACCUGAGAGGAUGAUCGGCCACACUGGAACUGAGACACGGUCCAGACUCCUACGGGAGGCAGCAGUAGGGAAUCUUGCACAAUGGGCGAAAGCUUGACGGAGCAACGCCGAGUGAGUGAUGAAGGUCUUCGGAUCGUAAAACUCUGUUAUUAGGGAAGAACAAAUGUAUAAGUAACUAUGCACGUCUUGACGGUACCAACACAAAAAGCCACGGCUAACUACGUG